CAUGCCUUACACAUGCAAGUCGAACGGCAGCGCGGGGCAACCUGGCGGCGAGUGGCGAACGGGUGAGUAAUAUAUCGGAACGUACCCUGGAGUGGGGGAUAACGUAGCGAAAGUUACGCUAAUACCGCAUACGAUCUCAGGAUGAAAGUGGGGGAUUCGCAAGAACCUCAUGCUCCUGGAGCGGCCGAUAUCUGAUUAGCUAGUUGGUAGGGUAAAAGCCUACCAAGGCAUCGAUCAGUAGCUGGUCUGAGAGGACGACCAGCCACACUGGAACUGAGACACGGUCCAGACUCCUACGGGAGGCAGCAGUGGGGAAUUUUGGACAAUGGGCGCAAGCCUGAUCCAGCAAUGCCGCGUGAGUGAAGAAGGCCUUCGGGUUGUAAAGCUCUUUUGUCAGGGAAGAAACGGGUUUUUCUAAUACAGAGAUCUAAUGACGGUACCUGAAGAAUAAGCACCGGCUAACUACGUGCCAGCAGCCGCGGUAAUACGUAGGGUGCAAGCGUUAAUCGGAAUUACUGGGCGUAAAGCGUG
rnacentral:rRNA from 1 species